rnacentral:tRNA from 1 species
GGGAUUGUAGCUCAGCGGUCAGAGCAGGACGCUCAUAACGUCUUGGUCGUAGGUUCAAUCCCUACCAAUCCCACCA